GCAGAGAGGACUGAGAAACAGAGGCAGCUGGGGAUGAGUCAGCAGAAGGUCCAGCAGAGAUUCCAGGAGAGAGAGAAGGACCUGAAGAAGCUCCAAAAAGCUGUGAAGUCUCUCAAGAGCUCUGCACAGGCAGCAGUGGAGGACAGUGAUAAGA